rnacentral:rRNA from 1 species
ACUCCUACGGGAGGCAGCAGUGGGGAAUAUUGGACAAUGGGCGCAAGCCUGAUCCAGCAAUGCCGCGUGUGUGAAGAAGGCCUUCGGGUUGUAAAGCACUUUUAUCAGGAGCGAAAUACUACCGGCUAAUAUCCGGUGGGGCUGACGGUACCUGAGGAAUAAGCACCGGCUAACUUCGUGCCAGCAGCCGCGGUAAUACGAAGGGUGCAAGCGUUAAUCGGAAUUACUGGGCGUAAAGCGUGCGUAGGCGGUUAUUUAAGUCUGUUGUGAAAUCCCCGGGCUCAACCUGGGAAUGGCAAUGGAUACUGGAUAGCUAGAGUGUGAUAGAGGAUGGUGGAAUUCCCGGUGUAGCGGUGAAAUGCGUAGAGAUCGGGAGGAACAUCAGUGGCGAAGGCGGCCAUCUGGAUCAACACUGACGCUGAGGCACGAAAGCGUGGGGAGCAAACAGGAUUAGAAACCCCUGUAGUCC